rnacentral:lncRNA from 1 species
AUGGAAAUGACAGGAGGACAAGAAGGUUGUCCAGCAAUAGGAAAACAAGUUGCUCGCAAGUCGUUCCUCUUUAAAGACUACUCCAGUCGGCGUGUCAGUCAGUCCAGGCAGCGGCUGUGGGAGGAGCUCCUCGGGAGGAGGCUGGCGAGGCUGAGAGAGCCAGGGAAUGGAGCGGAGAAGAGCGCGUACAUGAGCGAAGAGGAGGUAGGCGCCGGGAGAGCGAGCGAGGCUGAGCAACUAAACUCCAUCUCCGCCUUAGCAGCAGAAGCAGGAGCCGCCGCCGCCGCCGCUAUUGCUGCCAACCCAGCGAACGCUUCGCCGGUGUGUAGGAAGAGGGCUUCGGCAAGAGAAGAAGGCAGGCGAGAGCAUCGGGAGGCAGAUAAAGCUAGCCCCCGAAACUGCUUAAGCGCGCAAGUUCGUCUCUCUUAUUUCCCCGCCGAACUCUUAAGGAAUGAAAGCUUUUCAGACAGAUCUCGUCCUCCUCUGCUUCUUCCUCUUCAGUCAAGUUGCUCUUCCCUCCCUCCCUCUUACAAUGACAAGCGUGCAAGUAAAGUUGGAAUGAAAGCACAUGGAAGAGCUGCCCCCCUUCAUUAGUUUAGCCUGUGUUGCUGUCCAAAAUGUCUGUGGAGGGCAGUGGGGUUGCAAAGGCUGCCCUAGAGUAAGUCCUUGCAGCUUUUUACAAGAUUAAUGUACACUGAAUGCAAACUAUAAUGAAACCACUGCUUUAUUGUGUUGUUAUAUGAUUGUGAUGGAUUGUUUGUUGUUUAUGUGCUGGUUGCUUUGUUUUUUUUAACAAAGUAAUAGUUUAAAUAGUUUUUUUUCUGUAUUGUUUGUAAGUUUGUGUACUCUCUGUUAGCUGCUAUGUUGAAGACACAUUUCUAAAAAGGAGGAUGCAAGUAUAUUAAAAAUAAAUGAAUGAACAACCUUCUUUUGUUGUGGUGUUGGAAAUUAUUACAAUUAAUUUAUUAAAGUGUGAUUUACAAGUAAGAUAACUGAAAACACAAAACAACAAAAAAUGAAAAGACUAAAAACCUAAAAAUAAUAAUAUUACAUUCAUAUUAAAGACCCAUCUAAGAAGCAGGGAAAACUUGUUGUAACAAAAUUAUCUUCACCUUUUUUCAGAAAGUGGAGAUAGUGAGUGCCUAUCAUAUCUCGACAGGGAUUAUAUCCCAAAGAUUGGUUAGGGAUAUACAUUUUGUUCAUAGGCACCAACUCUACGGGGCCAGGGGCCAUUGUCCCCCCCCAAUAAUUCUCUUAGGAGGGCACGGUGCCCUCAAUAUUUUUCCUUACCUACCCACCUUCCUGCUUCCCUCUCUCCCUCACUCAGUCUGCUGCCUCCCCACCCCCAGCUGGUUGCUACCCUCUGUUUCUGACUUGUUUCCAGGACGAGCAAGGGAGAGAGCAGUGGCCACAGGUCUGGAAAUGUGUGCAGUGUGUACCUGACUACCCCCUCCCCACAUGGCUACCAGUCGCUCCUUCCUCUGCUUGCUCCCUUGCUCCCUCCGUGCAGCUUGGCAUGGAGCAGGCCAGCAGGAUUGCACAGACAGGUGGGCAUGCUAGCAGAGGCAGCGCUGUCCUGUGGCAGGGACAGCAGCCCCUUUGGGGACCACCAGCCAAACUACCACAGUAGCCACCUGAGCGCCGAUGAUCAUGUCUGACCAGCGGGCCUAAGAGAAUCUGGUGAUAUUCUGUGGGGAGGCAGCUGACCAAGGGAGGGAGAGACAGAGAGAGAGGCAGGCAAAGUGGCCAUGGUGCCACUGUUGCUGCCACCACCAACCGUCUGUGCUCACUGUGCCUGCCUGGGCACAUGCUCGCCCGACCCCCAGGCCAGAAGGAGCAGGGUGUGUCAAGGGAACAGAAGCGGAGAGUGGGACAGGGCAAAGCAGCCCCCUCCAAUGUUUCGUUCACACUGGCGCCACUGAUUUUGGAGGCACUGAUUUUGCUCAUCUCCAUGAUCCUUAAACAUAACCCAAACUCAGGGCUAUUUCUCUCCCUCCACCCCGUGUUUUCUCCCAAGCUUGACUUGUAAUCUGAACUUCAUUAUGUUACAUUUAAAGCUGCCCCAAAUGACUACGUAUGAGCCGCCUUCAGAUGUUCAAGCUUCACAUGAAUAGGGGGAGAGGAAAGAUGAGCCUGCUAGCUACACACACACACACACACACACACACACACACACUUACACUUCUCCAUUCCAUCAUUUUUGUGACCUCUGUUGCCUUCCAUGUGUUUGUAAGGGAGCUACUGCAGCAGGGAGUCUGUUAUACUGUACUCAUGUAUAAUAGGAAAAGGAUAAUAGGAUACUUUUAUAAAAGGAUAAUACGAACUGUAGUUUGUUAAGGGUGCUGGAAAGUAUAGUUUUGGGGUAAACUAUUGGUUCCCUGAUUUUGGGGGGUGAAUCGUGAAAGGUAAAGUGGUAUGAAUGUGCUUCAAAUGUAUGGUGGUGCAGAUGUGACAAAAACCCAGAAGAUCAAGAUAUCAAGAUCAAAUAUGGAUGAGUGAAUCCUGAAAUGUAGAGAAGUUUAGAGAAAAUGUUGGUUGUUUAAAACAACAACAACCUUAAAUGCAGGCCUCUGUGGCACUUGAUUUCUUUUUAAAAGAUUACUAUAAGUUAUUGAUUUUGGCAGAGGCAAAAGAUAGCUUUUAACAGGGCCCUCAAUGCACCUACCACAUGAUAGCUAGUUGCUGAUGGGGUAGGGAGUUAGGGCUGUACCUAAUUCUCUACUUUUGGUGUUUGUCUUAAAAGCAACAGAGCCUCCAAAAUAAAGCACUGCAUGCUCCAUUCCCCCUUUGAAAUAAUGAUACUGCCACCUCCCACUCUCCCAAUUAACAAUGGUGGUCCAUGAUUAUGCCUUCUCUUUGUGUUGUCCUAUAGAUCAUGUUUAUUAUGUUGAUACAAACCCUUUGAUAUUGUAAUUGUGAUGUACACAUUAUGAAGACAAAUGUGUUGAGCUUAAUGAGAAUGGAUUGCCAAUAAAAGCUGAAAACAAGGGAAACGUGUUCGUUGUUUUUUUUUAAGCAGUAGCCAUCUCAUAGGGGAGGGUUGUUUUUUUUAGAAGAAAAGGGUUUGGGAUAGAGAUUUUGGAAGAAAAGCACCCUGAAUGCAAAUAAUAUAUUACUAGGCUGGUGGUGCUAAAUUAUUGAUAUCAGUAGCUUCUUAAUUACGAGAAAGAGAGAGAGAGAGAGGUCACCUUGAGUAGCUUUGCAUGGAAACCGCUGUGGGCUCAAGAAAGAUGAGAGGAAAGGGCAGUCACUUCACGACAGAGCACAAAUUUGGUAUGCAAAUUAUCCCAGUAUCAAACUUUGGCAUCUCCGUGGGGAUGGGAAAGACUUGCACCAGUUAGCUUGGAUUGGAUUUCCCCAACCUGAUGCCCACCAGAUGUUGCUGAACUUCAACUACCAACACCCUUGACCACUGGCUAUACUGGCUGAGGCUUAUAGAAGUUGAAUUCCAAAACAUCUGGAGGGCACCAGGUUGGGAAAAGUUGGUUCAGACAGUUUUGACCUGGAUGGGCCAGUGUUCUGACUUGGGAAUAUAAGAAGCUGAGAAGUAGUCCUGCAGUCUAUGUGUUUUUGUUCCUGGGGGAUCUGAUUUUGCAUAGGCCACACCCUAGACCAGUAUUUCUUGAGAAGUCCAUCUGUCAAUGGCCAGUUCGUUUAUCUGCUCCAAGCUUUGCUUGUCAGUGAAUAGAGGAAUAUUUCAUAUGCUAGAGCAGGACUAGUAAGGUUUCGGUUGUUGUGUUUCCAUAUGGCACCGUAUUUGGGAAGCAACAUUAUUUUCAUCCCACUGCUCUUCCCGGUGGACUGCAAACAUCUUUGUUUCCUGUUGACUAAAGAGUGCCUCGUUUUGUUUGGUAACACCUGUUGUGGGGAUGCAGACGUCCCCUGCCUGUCUCCUGAAACUUGGCAAAAACUGAGGAAAUGGGAAUCCCUCACAUGCUGUGUUAAAUAAAAUGUUGAGAAGGAACAUGAUUUUGCAUGCAAACCUUAAGUGCCCAUUAGAGAGAGAUAAAUGGAUAAAUCUGUGUUUUUGUGGUCCUUGUCACUUUCUCUUGUGUACAUGCC